rnacentral:ncRNA from 2 species
UUCUUAUCAAGAGCAGUGGAGGGGCUGGCCCUAUGAAACUGCGGCAACCGGAUCCCAUCCUCGGAUGGGGUUGUUAGGGUGCCAAACCCAGUCAGGCGCUUUCCCGAAAGGGGGAGUGUCGGAAAGGAUGAGAG